AUUAGAAGUAUUCGUUGCAUCGUCAUGUAGUUGCAUCAUCGCAUCAUGCAUGGCAUCAUGUCAUCGGUGUUUUGUCGGUGUUGCUUGUUGCUUCGUGUUGUUGGGUGUUAGUGUUUCGUGAGUGGCGUCGUUUGUUGGCGCGAUGAGAGAGGGAGCGUGAGAGCCGCUGUUAAACCCCGUUGCAUCGCCGACCUAAACCUUCUCCCCUCCUCUCCUCUCCUAAGUUGUUUUGUGGUUUUGCUAAAGAUUUCUAACUUUACCCCUCUUUCAAAAUAUUCGUCUUCUUUUUAAAGUCCUUUUAUUAAACGUAGGGACAACCCUUAGGUUUUAAUUUUACUCUCCGUUUGUUUCAUUUUUAAAACCCUCCCAUUUUAUUUUCUCUUUUAAAAGGCUCUUGUUUAUUCUUUGAAUAGAGAGGUUUUAUUUAAUUCCUUAAAAGGGGUUAUUUAUAUUU
rnacentral:lncRNA from 1 species